rnacentral:rRNA from 1 species
CAGGGAUUGCCCCAGUAACGGCGAGUGAAGCGGCAACAGCUCAAAUUUGAAAUCUGGUCCCUAGGGCCCGAGUUGUAAUUUGUAGAGGAUGCUUUUGGUGAGGUGCCGCCCGAGUUCCCUGGAACGGGACGCCACAGAGGGUGAGAGCCCCGUCUGGCUGGCCGCCGAGCCUCUGUAAAGCUCCUUCGACGAGUCGAGUAGUUUGGGAAUGCUGCUCAAAAUGGGAGGUAUAUGUCUUCUAAAGCUAAAUAUUGGCCAGAGACCGAUAGCGCACAAGUAGAGUGAUCGAAAGAUGAAAAGCACCUUGAAAAGAGGGUUAAAUAGUACGUGAAAUUGUUGAAAGGGAAGCGCUUGUGACCAGACUUGGGCGCGGCGGAUCAUCCGGGGUUCUCUCCGGUGCACUUCGCCGCGUCUGGGCCAGCMUCAGUUCGUCGCGGGGGAAAAAGGCUUCGGGAACGUGGCUCCUCCGGGAGUGUUAUAGCCCGUUGCAUAAUACCCUGCGGUGGACUGAGGACCGCGCAUCUGCAAGGAUGCUGGCGUAAUGGUCACCAGCGACCCGUCUUGAAACACGGACCAAGGAGUCGUCUUCGUAUGCGAGUGUUCGGGUGUCAAACCCCUACGCGUAAAUGAAAGUGAACGCAGGUGAAAGCUUCGGCGCAUCAUCGACCGAUCCCUGAUGUUCUCGGAUGGAUUUGAGUAAGAGCAUACGGGGCCGGACCCGAAAGAAGGUGAACUAUGCCUGUAUAGGGUGAAGCCAGAGGAAACUCUGGUGGAGGCUCGCAGCGGUUCUGACGUGCAAAUCGAUCGUCAAAUAUGGGCAUGGGGGCGAAAGACUAAU